GCCAGACUCCUACGGGAGGCAGCAGUGGGGAAUAUUGGACAAUGGGGGGAACCCUGAUCCAGCGACGCCGCGUGAGUGAAGAAGUAUUUCGGUAUGUAAAGCUCUAUCAGCAGGGAAGAAGAUGACGGUACCUGACUAAGAAGCCCCGGCUAAAUACGUGCCAGCAGCCGCGGUAAUACGUAUGGGGCAAGCGUUAUCCGGAUUUACUGGGUGUAAAGGGAGCGCAGGCGGCCUGUUAAGUCAGCGGUAAAAGCCGGGGGCCCAACCCCGGCGAGCCGUUGAAACUGGCGGGCUGGAGUUGGAGAGAAGUACGCGGAAUGCGCGGUGUAGCGGUGAAAUGCUUAGAUAUCGCGCAGAACCCCGAUUGCGAAGGCAGCAUACCGGCGCCCAACUGACGCUGAAGCACGAAAGCGUGGGUAUCGAACAGGAUUAGAUACCCCUGUAA
rnacentral:rRNA from 1 species